GGCAUGAGAGGAGACCUAAGUAACAGAUAACCUAGAAGACAAGAGAGGAGACCUAGGUAACAGAUAACCAAGAGGGAAAUGGCAUGAGAGGAGAACUAAGUAACAGAUAACCUAGAAGACAAGAGAGGAGACCAAGGUAACAGAUAACCAAGAGGGAAAGGGCAUGAGAGGAGAACUAAGUAACAGAUAACAUAGAAGACAGAG
rnacentral:sRNA from 1 species